AAAACAAAGUGGAUUUUCCAGGUGCUGAUUGUUUCAGAUUAGCCAUAUGUUUUGGCUUCAUUUAGAAUAGAUUUUAAGUAAGCGUGAGCACAAGAAAAAGUAGAUUUGAAACAAGAAAUGGUGAACCCUUUGGAGGAUGGGAAUUGACUAAGCUUAGCAGAAUUCUUAAUGUUACAACAUUCUAGUUCACAAAGCUUUGUUUGUAGUUUGCUGUGUUGCAGGAAAAACGGGCACACAUCCCUGAAUAUAAUUUCCACUGAAAGUAAGGGAGAGAAUACAAAAUUUUCUUAGCCACUUAUCACAUUUUAGCCAUUUUUUUACACUCUCAGUAUGAGAGAAUUUCAUGUACAGACGAAAACGUCCCACAUCAGCUUGUGUUAUUAAGCACCAAUUGAGAGGCCAGCAGAAGAUAACAGUGUUUUCUAAUGGAAUCACUGAGGUGGUGGCAUACUGAUAAAUUUUGUAUUCAGGAAGGACGCAUCCCACGCUUUGCACAAGCACGUUGGUAACUAAAAAGGCCAAUUCAGGAUAAACAGGUCCGGUUGCAGAAAGCCCAUCAGAAAGUCUCCUUGGGUGAUGUUUCCAGGUUGC